rnacentral:misc_RNA from 1 species
UGGUUCUGGCAUCGAUGAAGAACGCAGCGAAAUGCGAUAAGUAAUGUGAAUUGCAGAAUUCAGUGAAUCAUCGAAUCUUUGAACGCACAUUGCGCCCUUUGGUAUUCCGAGGGGCAUGCCCGUUCGAGCGUCAUUUCACCACUCAAGCUCUGCUUGGUCUUGGGCAUCGCGCGCCCGCGCGUGCCUCGAAGUCACCGGCGUCGUCGCCUGUCCUCCAGCGUUGUGGCAUUUUGUUUUCGCUAGGAAUGGACGGGGGGCGGUCGGCCGUUAAACACUUCCAUCAGGUUGACCUCGGAUCGGGUAGGGAUACCCGCUGA